GAGUGCUGAGAAACAGUUACACAAACGAUUCAGAAUGAACUCAGAAUAUAGAAGACUGGGCUGGAGGAAAGAUGUGUGUAAGCAAAUCAGCUGCGAACAUCACCGCUGGAAGAAGAGCAGCAGCAUGUAUUGGAAGGGCAGGAAAAGAAGAAACUGCUUUUAAACCUUAAGUUGAAUUCUAACUCUGUUCUUUCUGACUGGUAAAAAUAAAUUUUGUAGGCACAUU
rnacentral:lncRNA from 9 species